CCUACGGGGGGCUGCAGUGGGGAAUAUUGCACAAUGGGGGAAACCCUGAUGCAGCAACGCCGCGUGAGUGAUGACGGCCUUCGGGUUGUAAAGCUCUGUCUUCAGGGACGAGAAUGACGGUACCUGAGGAGGAAGCCACGGCUAACGACGUGCCAGCAGCCGCGGUAAUACGUAGGGGGCGAGCGUUGUCCGGAUUGACUGGGCGUAAAGGGAGCGUAGGCGGACUUGGAAGUGAGAUGUGAAAUACGCGGGCUCCACUUGAGUGCUGCAUUUCAAACUGGAAGUCUAGAGUGCAGGAGAGGCGACUGGACUUCCUAGUGUAGCGGUGCACUGCGU
rnacentral:rRNA from 1 species